UAUCUCUGUAGAGUCUGCAUAUCAAUAAGCGGAGGAAAAGAAACUAACAAGGAUUCCCUUAGUAACGGCGAGUGAAGCGGGAAGAGCUCAAAUUUGAAAUCUUCAAGGUUCUACCUUGACGAAUUGUAGUUUAAAGAAGUGUUUUCUGUUAGAUGAGUAGCAAAAGUUCCUUGGAAUGGGACAUCAUAGAGGGUGAGAAUCCCGUAUUUGGUUAUUCAUUCUAGCUUUGUGAUACACUUUCAAAGAGUCGGAUUGUUUGGGAAUGCAGUCCAAAAUGGGUGGUAAAUUUCAUCUAAAGCUAAAUAUUGGCGAGAGACCGAUAGCGAACAAGUACCGUGAGGGAAAGAUGAAAAGAACUUUGAAAAGAGAGUUAAACAGUACGUGAAAUUGUCAAAAGGGAAGCGUUUGACACCAGUGUUGUUUUUCUCGAAAAUCAAUUACAAAUGGUUUGAUUUUUGAGGAGUUAUGACUUCAUCGGCUUGCUCCUUUCUUUAUGAAACUUUCUUAAUGCGCUUUUCGGUUAACAAGUCAACAUCAAUUUCUUUUGUUGUAAAAGGGUAUGAGGAAGGUGGCUUUCUUUUCGGAGAAAGUGUUUAUAGCCUUGUGCCUCUGCAAUCGGAGAGAUUGAGGUCUGCAGCGUAGAUCCUUCGGGGUUAGAUACGUUUGUGCUGAGUUAUAGCUUUUCAUAGACAACUUGUUGACUAUGUUUAGUCUUGUAGCUUACUCGCUGACGCUAUUUUACCUACGCUUAGGAUGUUGACUGAUAUGUAGUCGUA
rnacentral:rRNA from 1 species